AUGCGUAGCUGACGCCCGACCGUUUUCGACCCCCGGUACCCCGGGGGGCGGCCGAUCAGCGUGCUCAGUUACCAGGCCACUCACCGGAGCGCGCCCCUGCGGGGGUAGCGUGGGGAGGGGAGAGCUCCCGCUAAGGUUGUAGCCGACCCCGUUUGUACCUGCGCCCGUGAUGGUCGGAUCUUCAUCAAAACCCUUUGUUGUCCGACUCUGUUGCCUCGGGGGCGACCCUGCCCUUCAUUGGGCUCGGGGGACCCCCGGUGGACAUUAACCAAACUCUUGCGUAUCUUUGUCGUCUGAGUGAUUUUAUAAAUCAAAUUAAAACUUUCAACAAACGGAUCUCUUGGUUCUGGCAUCGAUGAAGAACGCAGCGAAAUGCGAUAAGUAAUGUGAAUUGCAGAAUUCAGUGAAUCAUCGAAUCUUUGAACGCACAUUGCGCCCCUUGGUAUUCCGGGGGGCAUGCCUGUUCGAGCGUCAUUUCACCACUCAAGCCUCGCUUGGUAUUGGGCGACGCGGUACGCCGCGCGCCCCAAAUCGACCGGCUGGGUCGACCGUCCCCUCAGCGUUGUGGCAACUAUUCGCUAAAGGGUGUCGCGGUCGGUCACGCCGUAAAACAAGACCUCAUUUCUAAGGUUGACCUCGGAUCAGGUAGGGAUACCCGCUGAACUUAAGCAUAUCAAUAAGCGGAGGA
rnacentral:rRNA from 1 species